rnacentral:snoRNA from 1 species
ACUUUCUCAGGGUCACACCUGGAGAGUUUCCAGUACUCUACCAGUCUUGACUCCGGGAGGGAGAGUCAAGCAGAGAUAUAUCCAUUCUAUGCCUAGCUUGGGCAGUGGCUAGCGAGCGGAAGGCAAUCUGCGACAAGU